AAGAGAAUAUGCCCUUCGGGGUAGAUCUCCCACCCUUUGUUUAUAUUACCUUUGUUGCUUUGGCAGGCCCGUCUUCGGACCACCGGCUUCGGCUGGUCAGUGCUUGCCAGAGGACCCCAAACUCUUAUUAUUAAUGUCGUCUGAGUACUAUAUAAUAGUUA
rnacentral:misc_RNA from 1 species